rnacentral:rRNA from 1 species
UACGUAGGGAGCAAGCGUUGUCCGGAAUCAUUGGGCGUAAAGCGCGCGUAGGCGGUUUCGUAAGUCCGCUGUGAAAGUCAAAGGCUCAACCUUUGAAAGCCGAUGGAUACUGCGGAGCUAGAGUACGGAAGAGGCGAGUGGAAUUCCUGGUGUAGCGGUGGAAUGCGCAGAUAUCAGGAGGAACACCAAUAGCGAAGGCAGCUCGCUGGGACGUUACUGACACUGAGGCGCGAAAGCGUGGGGAGCAAACAGG